GGAGCUUGCUCCCGGAUGUUAGCGGCGGACGGGUGAGUAACACGUGGGUAACCUGCCUGUAAGACUGGGAUAACUCCGGGAAACCGGAGCUAAUACCGGAUAGUUCCUUGAACCGCAUGGUUCAAGGAUGAAAGACGGUUUCGGCUGUCACUUACAGAUGGACCCGCGGCGCAUUAGCUAGUUGGUGGGGUAAUGGCUCACCAAGGCGACGAUGCGUAGCCGACCUGAGAGGGUGAUCGGCCACACUGGGACUGAGACACGGCCCAGACUCCUACGGGAGGCAGCAGUAGGGAAUCUUCCGCAAUGGACGAAAGUCUGACGGAGCAACGCCGCGUGAGUGAUGAAGGUUUUCGGAUCGUAAAGCUCUGUUGUUAGGGAAGAACAAGUGCGAGAGUAACUGCUCGCACCUUGACGGUACCUAACCAGAAAGCCACGGCUAACUACGUGCCAGCAGCCGCGGUAAUACGUAGGUGGCAAGCGUUGUCCGGAAUUAUUGGGCGUAAAGGGCUCGCAGGCGGUUUCUUAAGUCUGAUGUGAAAGCCCCCGGCUCAACCGGGGAGGGUCAUUGGAAACUGGGAAACUUGAGUGCAGAAGAGGA
rnacentral:rRNA from 1 species